rnacentral:rRNA from 1 species
GAUGAACGCUAGCUACAGGCUUAACACAUGCAAGUCGAGGGGAAACGACAUCGAAAGCUUGCUUUGAUGGGCGUCGACCGGCGCACGGGUGAGUAACGCGUAUCCAACCUGCCCACACUUGGGGAUAACCUUGCGAAAGUAAGACUAAUACCCAAUGACGUCUCUAGAAGACAUCUGAAAGAGAUUAAAGAUUUAUCGGCAACGGAUGGGGAUGCGUCUGAUUAGGUUGUUGGCGGGGUAACGGCCCACCAAGCCUACGAUCAGUAGGGGUUCUGAGAGGAAGGUCCCCCCACAUUGGAACUGAGACACGGUCCAAACUCCUACGGGAGGCAGCAGUGAGGAAUAUUGGUCAAUGGACGGAAGUCUGAACCAGCCAAGUAGCGUGCAGGACGACGGCCCUAUGGGUUGUAAACUGCUUUUAUGUGGGAAUAAAGUGAGGGACGUGUCCCUUUUUGUAGGUACCACAUGAAUAAGGACCGGCUAAUUCCGUG